rnacentral:lncRNA from 1 species
AAAGCUUAGGGUUCACUUCACGCCAAACCACCACGUGAAGGGGAACUCAGCCAACGCCAAGGAACGACUGUAUUUUUCUCAAACUAAAAAUAUAUUUUAAGUAUAUACAAAAAUUUUAACAACCUUGGCGGACUCAGUUGGAUGCCCUGCGCAAGGUAUCACCGAGUAUGAGUUUUGGCACGAGCCAAAAUUUUAAGAAAUUCAUAAGCCAAGUUGAUUACUCGAUUUAUAUGGAUUGAUUUUAUUUGGUUGAAAUGAGUGGAAAGGUAAUGAAAUUAUAGUAUGAUGACUUAUUUCAAUUGUCUCCAUUUACUCGACUUUAGAUAGUUUAGAUGGUAUCUGUUUACUCACUGGGAUUUUAUAAUCUCACCACCCUCAUUUCCUCACAUUUCAGGUUCGGGGAAUUUCAUAGUUAGCUGACUU